CAAUAUAUAACCUAGGUGUGAAAGAAUUUCACAAGAAUUUCUAAAUGCGAACUGACGUAGUAUCUCGGUGUGCAAGACCUCGUGACCAAGCAACAAUCAACAAAUAGAUCACACUCAUGCGCCCUUUUUAAACGUGAUCAAAUUAUAUUUUUCGCCGCUUCCUACAUUUGACUGCGUUAUUACUGUAGAAUCCCAUAAUAAUGGACUUCAUAAAAGCUUGCCAACAGAAAAUUACGGCAAGCCAAUCGAGCAUAUCUUGUUGGCUAUGUGAUAAUGUCGCGCAUUUUAAAUGUGCGGAUUACACUGGACUAGUGCGGGAUGCAAUAGCCCAAAGUAGUGGUUUGCACUAUAGUUGAAUGGCUAAAUGCGGGCGUUUAUGCGGCAGACCAGGAUGGGCUUUCUGCGUGGACUUUCUGCAUGGACGAGGUGUUGCCAUUUUUUUCAAACUACCUACUCCUAUAGGUAUAAUGAAAAUCAGCAUUAUCCUAAGUAAUACAUAAUCAAUAAUACAUCUCUAUUAAAAGGGUUUAUUUGCUUCUCAUAAUCAGUUGAGAUUUUGUUGAGUCUUAAGUAAUGAUUAAGUAUGGCUUAAGUUUUUUUUUAAUAUCGAUUAUGUUACUUACUUGGCGUUUGAUAUUUGUUAAACUCGGAGAAAUAUUCCGACAAUUUACUUUUUCCAGCCUUAAUUUUCUCUGCUAACAAAUCUUGCUUAUUUAGAAAAAGUAUAAUAGAAAUUGUGCGUAGCCAUCUAAAAUUAAAAAGAAUUAAAACAAUAAACAAUUUUGGUAGUCCUUAUGAUACCUGUUAUUCCAAAUACUCUUAAAUAAGUCUAAGGAUUCACGAAGCCGAUUUUGAGUGGGAUCCUCACGCAAAACCAUGUUAUAACUUGAGCAUGCCGUUACAAAUAUAAUAGCAGUAACAUCAUUGAAACAUUGAAUCCACUUUCUACGCUCGUCGCGUUGUCCUCCCACAUCGAACAUA